rnacentral:rRNA from 1 species
UACAGAGGUCUCAAGCGUUGUUCGGAUUCAUUGGGCGUAAAGGGUGUGUAGGUGGCGCGCUAAGUCGGGUGUGAAAUUUCGGAGCUUAACUCCGAAACUGCAUUCGAUACUGGCGUGCUUGAGGACUGGAGAGGAGACUGGAAUUCAUGGUGAGCAGUGAAAUGCGUAGAGAUCAUGAGGAAGACCAGUGGCGAAGGCGGGUCUCUGGACAGUUCCGUGACACUGAGACACG